rnacentral:rRNA from 1 species
AGCGAACGCUGGCGGCAGGCCUAACACAUGCAAGUCGAACGGCAGCACAGAGGAGCUUGCUCCUUGGGUGGCGAGUGGCGGACGGGUGAGGAAUACAUCGGAAUCUACUCUGUCGUGGGGGAUAACGUAGGGAAACUUACGCUAAUACCGCAUACGACCUACGGGUGAAAGCAGGGGAUCUUCGGACCUUGCGCGAUUGAAUGAGCCGAUGUCGGAUUAGCUAGUUGGCGGGGUAAAGGCCCACCAAGGCGACGAUCCGUAGCUGGUCUGAGAGGAUGAUCAGCCACAAGGGAACUGAGACGCGGUCCAGACUCCUACGGGAGGCAGCAGUGGGGAAUAUUGGACAAGGGGCGCAAGCCUGAUCCAGCCAUACCGCGUGGGUGAAGAAGGCCUUCGGGUUGUAAAGCCCUUUUGUUGGGAAAGAAAUCCAUCUGGUUAAUACCCGGGUGGGAUGACGGUACCCAAAGAAUAAGCACCGGCUAACUUCGUGCCAGCAGCCGCCGUAA